rnacentral:rRNA from 1 species
CCUACGGGAGGCAGCAGUGGGGAAUCUUGCGCAAUGGGCGAAAGCCUGACGCAGCAACGCCGCGUGCGGGAAGAAGGCUUUCGGGCUGUAAACCGCUUUCAGCAGGAACGAAAAUGACGGUACCUGCAGAAGAAGGAGCGGCCAACUAUGUGCCAGCAGCCGCGGUGAUACAUAGGCUUCAAGCGUUGUCCGGAUUUAUUGGGCGUAAAGAGUUCGUAGGCGGUCGAGUAAGUCGGGUGUGAAAAUUCUGGGCUCAACCCAGAGACGCCACCCGAUACUGCUUGACUUGAGUUCGAUAGGGGAGUGGGGAAUUCCUAGUGUAGCGGUGAAAUGCGCAGAUAUUAGGAGGAACACCGGUGGCGAAGGCGCCACUCUGGAUCGAUACUGACGCUGAGGAACGAAAGCAUGGGUAGCAAACAGGAUUAGAUACCCUGGUAGUCCAUGCCGUAAACGGUGGGCACUAGGUGUGGGUUUCUAUUAACGAAAUCCGCGCCGUCGCUAACGCAUUAAGUGCCCCGCCUGGGGAGUACGGUCGCAAGACUAAAACUCAAAUGAAUUGACGGCNGAGAGUUGCGAGCGACACGAGGGAGAGG